rnacentral:rRNA from 1 species
UAGGGAAUCUUCGGCAAUGGGGGCAACCCUGACCGAGCAACGCCGCGUGAGUGAAGAAGGUUUUCGGAUCGUAAAGCUCUGUUGUAAGUCAAGAACGGGUGUGAGAGUGGAAAGUUCACACUGUGACGGUAGCUUACCAGAAAGGGACGGCUAACUACGUGCCAGCAGCCGCGGUAAUACGUAGGUCCCGAGCGUUGUCCGGAUUUAUUGGGCGUAAAGCGAGCGCAGGCGGUUUGAUAAGUCUGAAGUUAAAGGCUGUGGCUCAACCAUAGUUCGCUUUGGAAACUGUCAAACUUGAGUGCAGAAGGGGAGAGUGGAAUUCCAUGUGUAGCGGUGAAAUGCGUAGAUAUACGGAGGAACACCGGUGGCGAAAGCGGCUCUCUGGUCUGUAACUGACGCUGAGGCUCGAAAGCGUGGGGAGCGAACAGGAUUAGAUACCCUGGUAGUCCACGCCGUAAACGAUGAGUGCUAGGUGUUGGAUCCUUUUCCGGGAUUCAGUGCCGAAGCUAACGC